UUAACAUGGGGAAUGCAGAGGGGAUUCCCCUCGCCGGUUCAGAGGGGGUGCUCAGGAGCGUAAGCUCCGUCGAAGGGGGA
rnacentral:sRNA from 12 species